UACAGAGGGGGCAAGCGUUGUUCGGAAUUACUGGGCGUAAAGGGCGCGUAGGCGGCCUGUUAAGUCGAACGUGAAAUCCCCGGGCUCGACCCGGGAACUGCGUCCGAAACUGGCAGGCUUGAAUCCGGAAGAGGAGAGUGGAAUUCCUGGUGUAGCGGUGAAAUGCGCAGAUAUCAGGAAGAACACCCGUGGCGAAGGCGGCUCUCUGGGACGGUACUGACGCUGAGACGCGAAAGCGUGGGGAGCGAACAGG
rnacentral:rRNA from 1 species